UGGCUCAGAUGGUAAAGCAUCUGCCUGCAAAGCGGGAGACCUGGGUUCAAUCCCUG
rnacentral:tRNA from 1 species